GGAGAUGAGGGACCUGCGCCAAUGAUAAGUUUCACUACUUAAUAAACAGACAACUCACAAAAACGUUAGGUAGACCAACUCAAACUUUACUGAUCAUUGGCCGAUGGAAGUGACGAGGAUACUCCAGUCAAG